UACGUAGGUGGCAAGCGUUGUCCGGAAUUAUUGGGCGUAAAGCGCGCGCAGGCGGUCCUUUAAGUCUAAUGUGAAAGCCCACGGCUCAACCGUGGAGGGUCAUUGGAAACUGGGGGACUUGAGUGCAGAAGAGGAAAGUGGAAUUCCAUGUGUAGCGGUGAAAUGCGUAGAUAUCAGGAGGAACACCGGUGGCGAAGGCGGCUCUCUGGACCACAACUGACGCUGAGGCGCGAAAGCUAGGGGAGCAAACAGG
rnacentral:rRNA from 1 species